AGCAGCCGCGGUAAUUCCAGCUCCAAUAGCGUAUAUUAAAGUUGCUGCAGUUAAAAAGCUCGUAGUUGAAUUUCGGGACUAAUAUGUCGGUCGUGCCUCGGUACGUACUGGCUUAUUGGUUUCUCCUUUCUGAAGAACCAUGAUGCCAUUUAUUUGGUGUCGUGGGGAAUCAGGACUGUUACUUUGAAAAAAUUAGAGUGUUUAAAGCAGGCUCACGCUUGAAUACAUUAGCAUGGAAUAAUGAAAUAGGACGUUUGAUUCUAUUUUGUUGGUUUCUAGGAUCGACGUAAUGAUUAAUAGGGAUAGUUGGGGGCAUUAGUAUUCAAUUGUCAGAGGUGAAAUUCUUGGAUUUAUUGAAGACUAACUACUGCGAAAGCAUUUGCCAAGGAUGUUUUCAUUAAUCAAGAACGAAAGUUAGGGGAUCGAAGACGAUCAGAUACCGUCGUAGUCUUAACCAUAAACUAUGCCGACUAGGGAUCGGAUGAUGUUAAUUUUUUAAUGACUCAUUCGGCGCCUUACG
rnacentral:rRNA from 1 species